GGUGAUCUCAAACUUCAACCCAGGUCAGACACCAGAGGUCCGUUGGGAGAAACCAUCAUGGCUCAUUAAUAUAGGCAGAAGAGUGGUAGACUGGUAUUUCCAGCUGCAUUGGCACUAUACAAACCCCCCCCCCAUGUCCUCCAAGGCCCUUCCCUAUAGGAUCCUGGCUGCCUCUCCAGCUUGAGCUGGCUACACUCCAGGCACACUGACCACCUUUCUGCCAAACACUUUUUGCCACAGGGCCUUUGCACUUGCUGUUUUUCCUGACUUGUCUAGAUCAACUAUUUCUCAGAGUGAUAUAGCUUAACUCAUGUGUCAUUCUAGGGAGGCAUUUCUGACAGAGUAUCUAAAGUAUGGCCCCUCCCACCGGACCAUAUCACCCUGUUAUUUCCUUCAGAGCAUGACUACAGUUUGAAAUCAUGUUUAUUUGCUUGUUAUGGUCUGUUCUCCUUCACCUGCCCUCCACCAUUAGGAUGUGAACACAUCUCUAGGACAUAAGGGAGAGUGAGAAAAAAGGCCUUUUGCCCAUCUCUUUUCCAGCUGGUCAUAGCAUGUCCUUACUGCCUUGCCCUCACCCUGACCCCAGACAAAUUAUGCAAAUAAUACCAUUUUCGAAGUUGAAGAGGACUCAGAGGUCAUAGGAUUCAAGUCUUCACUGGACAGACUUGGAAAUUGACAGCCACAGAGGUGUGUGAUGCUCCUCCUUCCAAUGACAACGAUGUCACUGAACUGGCAAAGGCAGGUCAAGACAAGAGAGAGAAAGAUGCUGACAGCCUACAGAAAAACUAAUAGAAAUGUUUGCAGCAGAGUGCAAGUGACUAGCCUCCCAGUGGUGGGGAAGGUAGAAAACCACAGGGAAUGAAUUUAGGCCCCCCAAGUCUUACCCUCAACCCCCAGAAUUUCAGUUCCUUCCCUCCAGGAGCCCUUCUUCCCUCCUUCCCUCGGUCCCACCUUUCCUCAAAUAGAGCCUAUGGAGGCAAUGCUUGCUCCUUUUUUAGCUUAAUAAAUCUAGAUUGAGCACCCACUAUGUUCAAUGGAAUGAGGAAUACAAAGGCACAGGAACAUGGACACCAGGGAGGGGAAGAGAUUUGCAUCACAUGAAUGUAACUUAUGUAGGUGUUAGGCAGAGCACCAGCUGCAAGAGACAAAGAUUACGAUUAUUAAGAGUAGGGGAAAGACAGAGCAAUACCAUUCAUUUUCGUUUGGAAAAACCUUUUUACUUUGUUUAAUAGCAGCUGUCCCCAUGGGGCUCCUGGGUGGCUCAGUGGUUAAGUGUCUGCCUUUGGCUCAGGUCAUGAUCCCAGUGUUCUGGGAUCGA